rnacentral:rRNA from 1 species
GGAGGCCAGUGGCGGACGGGUGAAUAAUGUAUCGGAUCGUGCCCAGUAGCGGGGGAUAACUAUACGAAAGCGUGGCUAAUACCGCAUACGCCCUACGGGGGAAGCGGGGGACCUUCGGGCCUCGCACUAUUGGAGCGGCCGAUAUCGGAUUAGCUAGUUGGUGGGGUAACGGCCUACCAAGGCGACGAUCCGUAGCUGGUUUGAGAGGACGACCAGCCACACUGGGACUGAGACACGGCCCAGACUCCUACGGGAGGCAGCAGUGGGGAAUUUUGGACAAUGGGGGCAACCCUGAUCCAGCCAUCCCGCGUGUGCGAUGAAGGCCUUCGGGUUGUAAAGCACUUUUGGCAGGAAAGAAACGGCACGGGCUAAUAUCCUGUGCAACUGACGGUACCUGCAGAAUAAGCACCGGCUAACUACGUGCCAGCAGCCGCGGUAAUACGUAGGGUGCAAGCGUUAAUCGGAAUUACUGGGCGUAAAGCGUGCGCAGGCGGUUCGGAAAGAAAGAUGUGAAAUCCCAGGGCUUAACCUUGGAACUGCAUUUUUACUACCGGGCUAGAGU